rnacentral:rRNA from 1 species
AGGACGAACGCUGGCGGCGUGCCUAACACAUGCAAGUGGAGCGACGAACCAGGCUUCGGCCUGGGGCAGAGCCGCGAACGGGUGAGUAACACGUGGGUAACCUGCCCUGAUGAUUGGGACAACCCGAGGAAACUCGGGCUAAUACCGAAUGUGCCCUCCGGCCUCAAGGCCGCUGGGGAAAGGAGCUUCGGCCUCCGCAUCGGGAUGGGCCCGCGGCCCAUUAGCUUGUUGGUGAGGUAACGGCUCACCAAGGCAACGAUGGGUAGCUGGUCUGAGAGGACGAUCAGCCACACUGGGACUGAGACACGGCCCAGACUCCUACGGGAGGCAGCAGUGGGGAAUCUUGCGCAAUGCGCGAAAGCGUGACGCAGCAACGCCGCGUGGGUGAUGAAGGCCCUAGGGUUGUAAAGCCCUUUCGGCGGGGAAGAUAAUGACGGUACCCGCAGAAGAAGCCCCGGCUAACUUCGUGCCAGCAGCCGC